AAUUUUAAGGUCAAGCUACAAAGGGCGCAUGGUGAAUGCCUUGGCACUAGGAGCCGAAGAAGGACGCGAUAAGCUGCGAUAAGCCUUGGGUAGCCGCAAAUAGGCUGAGAUCCAGGGAUUUCCGAAUGAGGAAACUCACAUGGGUAACCCCAUGUAUCAUGCACUGAAUACAUAGGUGUAUGAGGGUAAACCCGGGGAACUGAAACAUCUAAGUACCCGGAGGAAGAGAAAGAAAAAUCGAUUUCCUAAGUAGCGGCGAGCGAACGGGAAAGAGCCCAAACCAGAAACUUGUUUCUGGGGUUGUGGAUAGAUCAUAAAAGAAGAGGUAUCUUAAUCGAAGAGGGCUGGAACGCCCUACCAUAGAAGGUAAUAGUCCUGUAGGUAAAAAGAGAAAACUUCGAGAUCUAAUCCAGAGUACCACGAGACACGUGAAACCUUGUGGGAAGCAGGGAGGACCACCUCCCAAGGCUAAAUACUACCUAGUGACCGAUAGUGAAGCAGUACCGUGAGGGAAAGGUGAAAAGAACCCCGGAAGGGGAGUGAAAUAGAACCUGAAACCGUGUGCCUACAACCGAUCGGAGCACGUUAAAGUGUGACGAUGUGCUUUUUGUAGAACGAGCCAGCGAGUUACGCUAUGUAGCAAGG
rnacentral:rRNA from 1 species